UUUUCCCCAUACUGUUUUCAUGGAAGUGAAUAAGUCUCACAAGAUCUGAUGGUUUUAUAAGAGGAAACCCCUUUUGCUUGGCUCCAAUUCUUCUCCAUGCUUCCCCAUGUAAGAUGUGCCUUUCACCUUCUGCCAUGAUUAUGAGGCCUCCCGAGCCACGUGGAACUGGUCUUCAUUACUCCAGCCAAAAAAAUAGUAAUGAAAAUGGAAACACUUCAAGGUUUCUUUGAAGACUAGAAAUAAGUUGGUGAAGGAUAUGGCAUAUAACAGAGCUGGAACACCCUUCUUCUCCUGCCUUUGGACAUCAGAACUUCAGAUUCUCUGGCCUUCAGACUUCAAGACUUGCACUAGUGGCCCCCUGGGUUCUCAAGGUUUUGGCCGCCUCGGUUGAGAGUUACACCAUCGGCUUCUUUGGUUCUGAGGCCGUUGGAGUUGGACUGAGCCAUGCUACCAGCUUCCCUGGGUCUCCAGCCUGCAGAUUGCCUACUGUGAGAUUUAGCCUCCAUAAUCACGUAACAGAAUAUUGGCAUGUAGCACUCCUCAAAACAUAGAAAGCAGAAACAAAUCAAUUCUGCCUGGAGGACCUCCCCGAUCUCAACACCCAGUGGUUUUGACAGAAUUGAUAUAGAAAUAGAAGCUUCAAGCAACCUUACGAUGGAGGCAGAAGAAGGAUUCUAUGGUUGGAAACCUGCCAGACUCACAGGCUACGGAGAAGAAAGGCUAAAUCCACCAGACUGUUGGAUGCACCUAAAACAAAUUGCCCUCCGUGGCUUGGUUUCUUAUUAAUAUACUCAUAGAAAUGCACAAGAACUGAAAGCUCGAUAGGGAAACCAAAAAAUAAAAAUUAAAAAAAAAAAGCUGUAAACCAAUGUUUCUUAAAACAUGCUCUGCAGAACACUCGUUUGGUGGAACGUAAAGUGUUCUUUCAUAUUAAAGGAGUUGCGUGUUAAUCGUGUUUCUCUGUCAUAGGACUCUCAUUGCAUUAAUAUGUCAGUUUCCAUUGUGAAUUUCUCAGGAGAGAGAGGCGAGUCUGUGAUAUUCCUCAAAUGCAUGAGGUCAUGGAAUCUAAGAGCAGAAGAGCAUUAGGAUAGCAGAACAGCUUUGAUAGCACAACAGCUCCUUGCAUGUGGUGGAAAUCACAAGUUCAGGGGGACAUUUUACUGGCUGUAUUGUCAGUAGGAUGAAUACUACACGCUGCAUCUUCUGAACUAUAAUACGGUAUCCCUGAGAAACAAAAUUAGAGGAAAUAUUGAUCACAUCUCACCAUUUCCAGCUAAAACUAAGAUGCAGAGUCUGCAAUGCCCCAAAAUAAAUGUGCUCAUUCCCUGAACACAUGGGGCCUUUGUCUUAUUUUGUCCUUUGUCUUAUUAUUU
rnacentral:lncRNA from 10 species